GAUGAACGCUGGCGGCGUGCUUAACACAUGCAAGUCGAACGAAGCAUUUGCGACAGAUUUUUUCGGAAUGAAGUUGCUUAUGACUGAGUGGCGGACGGGUGAGUAACGCGUGGGUAACCUGCCUGGUACGGGGGGAUGGAAGCGGGAAACGGCGGGAAAUACCGCAAAAGCGCACAAGGUGGAAGGAAAGGGGGGGAAAAACUCCGGUGGUAUAAGAUGGACCCGCGUCUGAUUAGCUAGUGGGUGAGAUAACAGCCCACCAAGGCGACGAUCAGUAGCCGACCUGAGAGGGUGACCGGCCACAUUGGGACUGAGACACGGCCCAGACUCCUACGGGAGGCAGCAGUGGGGAAUAUUGCACAAUGGAGGAAACUCUGAUGCAGCGACGCCGCGUGAGUGAAGAAGUAAUUCGUUAUGUAAAGCUCUAUCAGCAGGGAAGAUAGUGACGGUACCUGACUAAGAAGCUCCGGCUAAAUACGUG
rnacentral:rRNA from 1 species